GUCGUAGUUCAGUGGUAGAGCGUUUGCUUUGAAUGCGGGAGGUCCUAAGUUUACUCCCCAGCAUCUCCA